rnacentral:snoRNA from 1 species
CCCCUUUCAGGGUCGCACCUGGAGAGUUUCCAGGACUCUACCAGUCUUGGCCACGGAGGGAGAGUCAAGCAGAGGCCUACCCAUUCCAUUCCUAGCUUGGGCAGUGCUAGUGAGUGGAAGGCAAUCUGCUACAAAU